UGUAAUAUACCAGAUUUUGGUAUAAAAAUAAAAGUAAAUAAAAAUAGUGUGAGAUACUAUUUUUAUUUGGUUUUUGAGAAACAAAGUAUAAGUCUAUAAUGACUUGUGCUGAAAUCGGAAUGAAAACAGAAGAUUUAUAAUUUUCUGUUGAAAACGAGACANUCAUAAAAAUAUUCCUGACUUAUCCUCCAAUUUUCAUAAUUUUCUGAGACUGUGCAUUUUCUGCUAAUUUAUCUGUCCCGUUUCCAACAGAAAAUUCUAGAUCUUCUGUUUUCGCUUCGAUUUCAGCACAGGUCACUCCCAACCUAUAUUUCGCUUCUCUAAAUCCGAUAAAAUAGUAUCUCAUACUAUUUUUAUUUAUUUUCACUUUUAUAUUUAAAAUCCGGUAUGUCACAUUCCACCGCAACCUCACCGGAACCGUUUAAAUAGCUUUCUAAUCAAAUGGACACCG
rnacentral:lncRNA from 1 species